CUAGAGGACAGUGGGGAAGGUUUCAUGCCUGGAGUCCAUUCUGUACUUCUCCUGUAAAGAAAUGGAAGACCUCAGUCUCCAGCCAACCAACACUUCUCAGGUGGACAGUCAGAAGGCAGACAGAAGUGAAUCAGUACGAGAAAACAGAUAAGCCUUUCCAAAACAUGCUUCAACCUGUAUGCUACUCCUUGGCGGCAGUUGAUGAUUUAAGCAAGAGUGUCUCCGGGAGUACAUGAUUACUUACAGAAAAUGCAUUCCAGUCAACUUGUUUUCCAUAGGUUUUCAUCAGGCUCUGAAUCAAUGGAAGACUCCUGUAAUAAGAAGUGUCAUCCACUCCAAGUCCACUUCUCUCAUCCAGGUGACAUCAUCCAGGCUGACAAAGUAAAACCAUCAAGACUAGAAGACAAGAAAUAAUUUUGAAAGCUAAAAGGAAAAUCAAAAUGUACACGUUCUCCAGGAGGAAGACAAAGCAGGUUUUCCAGCUCACUGAUAAUGCUGGGCAUAUUUCAUAUCAAAUUUUGUUAAAAGUUCUCAAGGCUUAUCUUGAGCUCUGACAGACAUUUAUCUACCAAAGGAAUUAAGUCACAAAAAGGAACACAAGACGAGGAUUUAGAUUAUUAAAAGCCAUGCAAUUUUAAAGAUUUUGUUGUGAGUGGAAAUAAAAUACAAAUGACUUGAUUUUCCAGGGCCGUGUAUCUUGUGAGGUUAUUUACACCUGUGCAAAGUGGGUGAAAAAUUCUGCCUGAUCAGAACAGUAAUAUUUUAUACUGAUUCUGCAAACUUGUAAAGGACCACCAAAGGUACACCAAGUGCACAGAGCAUCAACUCCAAACUUUUAGGCUGACAUUUUCAAAUGGGCCUAAAGGAGUUAAGCACUAGAGCUGGUUAGACAAUGUGUUUUUUCCCAUUGAAAAUUUUGACUCUUCAUCAAAAACCUGAAAAC